rnacentral:antisense_RNA from 1 species
AAUCAGAAAAAAGUGCGGAUGUGCAAUCUUCACCUGUUUAUUCGGUAGAGGGUGCCAUCUUCAGGUAGCCCUUCACGUUGUACAGAAAACAAUGGAGACUUCUCCUCCUGGGGCAGCCUCAACCUGGAGAAAAAAGUCUUCAUCCCGUGGAGCACCAUCCACCUCUUCUCCACCUGGACAGGCUGCUGGCUGCCGGAUCUUCUUCGGUUUGGUGGGGCUGCUCACCUUGGGGCCCUCAGGACAGGACACAGGGGCAGGCAGGGCUGUUGAGAGCUCUUCAGCCAGUUCCUGAAGAUACAGAAGUGCCCUGUGGGAACGGACAGAGUCAGAGCCAUUCUCACAUAUGACUGAGAACCCAUGUUUCCAGACAUGGUUGAUUUUUAUCUCAAUGGAGCCUCCCAAUAACCCCAUGAUUAACCAAUUAACUCUAUUAAUUUCCCCUUCCCCCUUGGAAGAUGAAAAACCAGAAAUCUAAGUUAUGUGACUUGGUCGAGAUGACUGAGAUUAACAAAUGUGGAAUCUGAACCCAGGUCUUCUCACUCCAAGUUCAAUACAUUUUUCAUCCUACCACAGUCAAAGAACACAGAGGGCAAGAGAAAGAAUGGAACAGCAUAUAUAUACUGACAUAUACUGGACAGUAAAACAAUAAAGAGCUGGGUAAAGUUUGUGAAAAA